rnacentral:rRNA from 1 species
GACGAACGCUGGCGGCGUGCUUAACACAUGCAAGUCGAGCGGUAAGGCCCUUUGGGGUACACGAGCGGCGAACGGGUGAGUAACACGUGAGUAAUCUGCCUUUGGCUUGGGAAUAACUUCGGGAAAUCGGGGCUAAUGCCUGAUGUUUACUGUCUGCUGCAUGGUGGGUGGUGGAAAGUAUUUUUUGGCCAGGGAUGAGCUCGCGGUCUAUCAGCUUGUUGGUGGGGUAAUGGCUUACCAAGGCUUUGACGGGUAGCCGGCCUGAGAGGGUGUUCGGCCACACUGGGGACUGAGACACGGCCCAGACUCCUACGGGAGGCAGCAGUGGGGAAUAUUGCGCAAUGGGCGUAAGCCUGACGCAGCGACGCCGCGUGGGGAUGAAGGCC